GGAGGGUGCAAGCGUUAAUCGGAAUUACUGGGCGCAAAGCGCACGCAGGCGGUUGGAUAAGUUAGAUGUGAAAGCCCCGGGCUCAACCUGGGAAUUGCAUUUAAAACUGUCCAGCUAGAGUCUUGUAGAGGGGGGUAGAAUUCCAGGUGUAGCGGUGAAAUGCGUAGAGAUCUGGAGGAAUACCGGUGGCGAAGGCGGCCCCCUGGACAAAGACUGACGCUCAGGUGCGAAAGCGUGGGGAGCAAACAGGAUUAGAUACCCUGGUAGUCCACGCCGUAAACGAUGUCGAUUUGGAGGCUGUGUCCUUGAGACGUGGCUUCCGGAGCUAACGCGUUAAAUCGACCGCCUGGGGAGUACGGCCGCAAGGUUA
rnacentral:rRNA from 1 species